UGAAUCAAUUGUUUCUCCCACUGCCUGUCCC
rnacentral:piRNA from 1 species